rnacentral:rRNA from 1 species
AACGAACGCUGGCGGCAUGCCUAACACAUGCAAGUCGAACGAGACCUUCGGGUCUAGUGGCGCACGGGUGCGUAACGCGUGGGAACCUGCCCUUAGGUUCGGAAUAACUCCCCGAAAGGGGUGCUAAUACCGGAUAAUGUCUUCGGACCAAAGAUUUAUCGCCUAUGGAUGGGCCCGCGUUGGAUUAGCUAGUUGGUAGGGUAAAAGCCUACCAAGGCGACGAUCCAUAGCUGGUCUGAGAGGAUGAUCAGCCACACUGGGACUGAGACACGGCCCAGACUCCUACGGGAGGCAGCAGUGGGGAAUAUUGGACAAUGGGCGAAAGCCUGAUCCAGCAAUGCCGCGUGAGUGAUGAAGGCCUUAGGGUUGUAAAGCUCUUUUACCCGGGAUGAUAAUGACAGUACCGGGAGAAUAAGCUCCGGCUAACUCCGUG